GUAUCUCUCGCGGGAGAGAAUGGCAUAAAAGUCAUGGCCGAAGGCGCAACCGCCCCGGAAACGCUCAGGCAAAAGGACCGCGAAAGAUUA
rnacentral:ncRNA from 2 species